CAUCUGUGUAGUUAUAGCUAGUGAUGCCACAUUUAGACACUAAAACCAAGAAAUUUAAAAAAUAUUAUUUAUUAGUUCUCUUAUAAACAACAGUAAUAAACUCAUUACAUGUUAACAUCAGAGCAAUGACAUCAUCACAUAUCAUGUAGUUUCUGGAAAACUCCACCAUACACUUAGAAUGAGCAUGAAAAAGGUAAAUAACAUCUUAAUUAUUAUUUAAAACACUUGAUUUCAUAGGUCUUCCUCACCCCCAACUCCAAAAUGAGUCAUGAUAAUUCAAUUCAGUUUUACUCAAGAUAAGUAAGACUAAAAACAAAAAUUUUUUUUUCUGGUCUGAGAUUCCUCUCAACCCAGAAAACAUGUACUUGGCGGCGUGGGCAACAUGGACACUGGAAUCUGGAUUGUACUUGGUUAGUCAUAGAAAGGGCAGAAAAUAGUUCUUUAAUCUGGAUAUGGACCUGCUGACGCCUGCCCAUUUUAAAAAUAAUGCUUUUCUGGCCUUUCAGAAAUGAAAACUGGCUGGUUUUAACCUUUCAUUAAUCUCCUUAAUCAUGUGAUUUUUGAGAGUGGGUGGGCAUGGAGACCUAGAACCCAGUGGUUCUCAAAGUGUGGUCUCCAGACCACUCUCAGCAGCAUCACCUGGAACUUGUUACACGUGUAAAUCCUCAGCCGGCCGGUACCUGCUGACUCAGAAACCCUGGAGAUGCCCCCACCCGUGGCCGAACCAGGCCUCCAGUGACCUUGGAACUACUGCUGAGAAGCAGGUCGAGUUCACUCAUUGAUACUACAGAGCUGGUUUUGUCAUGAGGUUGCAGUUGCCCGAUGUGUCAGCGUGGGACUUCAGAGUUUUCCAAAACCGAAGAGAUCACGGGAGAUGCCUCUUGGGCUGAAAUCUGACCCCAAGGCCUCUCGGUGCCUCCAGAGGCCCAGACUGGCUGCCCCGUGGUUCCUACAGCAGGAUGAUGCAAUCAUUGUGCAGAAAUGGCCAGCAAUAAAGAGUAGAGAAACAGGUUCCCACUCGUGUAGGACCUCUUCUGUGAGGAACAAGGAAAUUGUUUGAAGACGAAGAUUCCCUGAGGAAGCAAACAAGCAGCAGAACACCUCACCAGCCCUCAGUGGUGUUUUGCCCUUGAUGCUUACAACUGCAGCAUGUACGGAAGCAGUGGGUCAUGUCUGAGUGCAGUGGAGUACCUUUCAAGAGUUGGAAAUAACCUGCAAUGAGAUGUUGGGCUUUGGUACUCCGCCACUUAAAUAUCUCUUUAAC